UACGGAGGGAGCUAGCGUUAUUCGGAAUUACUGGGCGUAAAGCGCACGUAGGCGGUUUUGUAAGUUAGAGGUGAAAGCCUGGAGCUCAACUCCAGAAUUGCCUUUAAGACUGCAUCGCUCGAAUCUGGGAGAGGUGGGUGGAAUUCCGAGUGUAGAGGUGAAAUUCGUAGAUAUUCGGAAGAACACCAGUGGCGAAGGCGGCUCACUGGACCGGCAUUGACGCUGAGGUGCGAAAGCGUGGGGAGCAAACAGG
rnacentral:rRNA from 1 species